rnacentral:rRNA from 1 species
GAUGAACGCUGGUGGCGUGCCUAAUACAUGCAAGUCGAACGGGGAGUAGCAAUACUCUUAGUGGCGAACGGGUGAGUAACGCGUUGGUACCUGCCCCGAAGCGGGGGAUAACGGACCGAAAGGUCCGCUAAUACCCCAUGUGCUCGGUAACGAGUAAAGGUGAAAACCACUUUGGGAGGGGCCUGCGUCCCAUCAGCUAGUUGGUAAGGUAACGGCUUACCAAGGCGAUGACGGGUAGGGGACCUGAGAGGGUGGCCCCCCACAAUGGAACUGAAACACGGUCCAUACACCUACGGGUGGCAGCAGUAGGGAAUAUUGGGAAUGGGCGCAAGCCUGAACCAGCAACGCCGCGUGUGCGAUGACGGCCUUCGGGUUGUAAAGCACUUUUGACUGGGACGAGGAAGGACGGUACCGGUCGAAUCAGCCUCGGCUAACUACGUG